AGCCAGCCAGCCAGAGCGAGUCAGUCAUGCAGCCAAAUACAUACCUACUCACCAGCCAGCCAGCUUGCUAACCAGCCAACGGAUACAUUUUUCCGACAUUCAAUUGGAAUAAUUUGUUAUUUCGCAGACGGCAUUCGAGGAAGACGCAUGCAAGCGAGCUAAUAAGCCGGACAAACGCAAGGCAAGCAGAACCAUACAGUGAGCUAGUGAGCGCGUGUGAACACCACUUAAGUGAGUGUGAAUAGUGAAUAGUUCUCGAAUAAAUGAAUGGAUAAGAAAAAAGAAAAGCUGUGCUAUUUAGGAAAUCUACUGCUGCUAUCGUAGAGUUGCUUCUGGCUACUUACGCGCUGAACCAAAAACGUUUCUACGCUGUUGGUCGCCGCGGUCGCUCACUUCUCGCUUUAUAUGUAAGUAAAUAGAAACGUGCGCGCAUGUUUUUCGGCGUGUUUUUCAUGUGAUUUAACACACACGCACACGUACGCAAGCAAAAUACGUAACGUCUAAUUAGCGAAAAGUGUGAGGUGAUCAAGCUCCCGCGUGCGAGUCAAGGUAGCGCGAGUAAGACAAAGGUACAGAGUUGGAAGAAAAAUACAAAAUUACAGUAUAAACAAGUAUUAAAAACGACCAACGGCCGAAAAUAGCGCUGUUGAAUAACCACAAUAAUCGAAAAAAGUCGCGUAAGGCGUCAAAAAAAAAUAAACAAAGCGACGAGAAUAUUGCCAUCACAGUGCAUGCAAUACAAACAAAAAUAGUAUAAAUAAACA